GGAUCCAGUACUUGGAGUCUUUUAUUACUGUCAAUGAUUACAGACGAACCAGCUUAUUUAGAGGACGAAAAUCAUCCUGAUCAAGUUCCAUCACAGGAAAUGGUACGCAAGCCUCAAAAAAGUGCGUAGGUAACAUGAUGUUGAAAGAACGAGGAGAUUGGAAAAGAAAGAAGUAAAUUGAGAGCUAUACAGAUAAAUCUAAAAGUAAACAUAGAGGACAAUGAUGCAUUAGAGACUGGCAU